UUCCCUAUUUCUUACUUUUGUAUUGGAAAAAUAUCAUAACAUUUUGGGGGGUUUAUUGAAUCAAGAUGAGAAGACUUGAUAACUCAUUAUGGGUCAGUAGAUAGCUUAGUAUGGAUAAUUAGAGUUGCAAGUGAUAAAUAAUUAAACCUAUAUUUUAUGGGAGAGAAAUGAGGUGCCUAAAAGUUUCAAGGAACAAAGAUUACUUAGGUAAUUGGACAACUAGCCAGGACCUCAACUUAUUUAUCCUUUCCGAUAAAGUUUUCAUACUCAGUUACACCACUGACCCUAAAUCAACAUUUCCCCCUUUUAGUAUUUCCCAUCAAACCAAGCUGUUUCAAUUCUCCAACUGUGCUUUCACAUAUCCCAACAGCUGGAAUGGAGGAUUCUUUGCCAUGCAUGCUUAUCAGUCCCCGGCUCCCUCUUCAACCCUCAUUAGGGGAGGUGGGAAUCAAGCUUCCAAUUUUGCGUGAAGGUAUGGUGACAUUAAAGGUAUGAGGGAAUAAACCAUACCUAACUCCCAAGUCUAUGCUUGUAUUCACUCAUGCUGCAAGGAGAAUGUGCAGACGGAGAAGGCUGAGAGCCAGAGAGACAAGCAGAUAAUUUUCAUUCUUUGCUCUCUAAAGUUGUUGGUCUGUGAGCUUCUUACCUAACAUAGCAAAGGAGAAGGAAUUGGUCCCAGUUACUAGAGCUAUUGUAUCCCUGAGUUUGGCUGCCUAAAAAAACUAACCAACCAACCAAAAGAGUAAGUUAGUUCUUCAUUUUCAUUUCUACCUCCAUUCGCCUCCAGGCAAAGAUAAAAAUCAUGACACUAAACAUUUCAACUAAACAGCACAACAGUUAUUUUAUAAAAAUGAGCAGGUUGAGGAUGACAAAAAUGGUGGAAACCAGAUCAUUAAUUAUUUGUUUCUCAAAGUUCUAACAUGUAACUUUCCUGUGUUUAUAACCACUCUUUCUAAUUGCCUCUCUGCUACUUACAAAUGCACUGGGCAGACUAAAACUUAAAACCAGCUUAAGAACUAUUACAAGACCCAUUUUCUGGAGCCAUUGUGGGUGUUGCUGGGUAUUACACUACAUAUUUUCCUACCUAGUGCUUGUGAUGCUUUAACUUAAAAGUACUGUUUUAAGCAUUUUAGUUACAUACUACAUUAAACAUCCUUUUUAUACUCUACAGGGUUACUGGCCUGAAAAGAGUAUUCAAAUAUAGGGGAGAAACUAGCUACAGGAAUAAAAAUAGUGCCUUAAAGGGAAGAUAAGCAAAAUAAUGAGUCAAAAAUUUUAUACAUAC